CCCGUGGAGAAGCAACGUUGGCCAUGGGCCAGCCAGGCAGCCUGCAGGUGGACUACGUCUUCCGGGGUGUGGAGCAUGCUGUGCGGGUGGUGGUUACCGGGCAGGUGCUGGAGCUGAAGGUGGAGGACCGGAUGACUGUGGACCAGUGGCGGGGCGAGUUCGACGCAGGCUUCAUUGAAAAUUAGACUCACAAGACAGGGAACUUCAAACAGUUCAACAUCUUCUGUCAUAUGCUGGAGUCAGCCCUCACUCAGAGCAGUGAGUCAGUCACUCUGGACUUGCUUACCUACACAGACCUGGAGUCCCUGCGGAACCACAAGAUGGGGGGCCGUCCAGGCCCUCUGGCCCCCAGAUCGGCCUAGCUCAACUCCAAGCGCUACCUAAUCCUCAUCUACUCAGUGGAGUUUGACAGGAUUCACUAUCCGCUGCCCCUCCCGUACCAGGGCAAGCCAGACCCUGUGGUUCUGCAGGGCAUCAUCCACUCACUGAAGGAGGAACUGAGCCGCCUGCAAGGGCUGGGCGGCCAGGAUACUCGGGACACCCGGGAGACUGAGAUCUGGCACCUGUGGGAGCAGGUGACGCGCCUGGCAUCAGAGAAGCGCGAGCUGGAGGUGCAGCCGGGCCGAUCGCGCGAGGAAGCGCUGGCUGGGCGUGCAGCCCGCCAGGAGGCCAAGGCAUUGCGUGGGUUGGUGCGUGGGCUGGAGCUGGCGUUACUGCAGGAGCGCGUCCUUGGGCAUAGGGUGGCUGGCCGCCGAGGCUAGGACUGCGGCAGCCUGGCCAAGGAGCUCGAGGAGGCGAAGGCAUCCGAGCGGAGCCUGCGAGCCCAGCUGAAGAUGCUGACCAGCGAGCUGGCCUUGUACAAGAGGCGGAGGCGGACUCCACCGGUGCAGCCGCCCCUGGCGAGGGAGGACCGGGCCUUGUAGUCCCGGGAGCGCUCCACGUCGCGAGGUCGCGGCGCAGCGCGCUUCCUCAUCCCGGGAGGGCGGCUGCGGGAGCCGUGGUCGAGGCCGACCAGCGCGCCCCUCGCCCUCGCCCACAGGUGGUCGCGCGCUCCACUUCAACCCCACGGCCUUUGUGAAAGCCAAGGAAAGGAAGCAGAGAGAUCAAGAUGAAGCAGCAGCAGCAGCAGUGGAACCGAUUUGGCAGUGGAGGAAGCGGGGACCGUCUGUCAGUCUCCUGGCCUCGCCACACCUGGCCCCCUGAUGCCGUGACUGGACGAGGGGACGCCCCUAACCGCUCAAGAAACCGCAGCUCCUCAGUGGACAGUUUCCGCAGCUGCUGCUCCUCAGCCAGCUCCUGCAGCGAUUUGGAGGAUUCUCUGAGUCGCUUUCCAGAGGGGUUCCCCGCCGCCGUGGCAAGCCUCCUAGCCCAACGACCUGGAGUGGACCCAAUACGAAGUCCACCCCUGUGGAACGCAGCCACCGUGAGAAACGUCUGGCUAAUUCGGGGGGCUGAGUCCCCGGAGUACAGCUUGGACCACCAGGCGGCUGACAUGGCCGAAAUAGAUGAACGACUGAAGGCCUUGCAGGAGUACAUGAACCGACUGGACAUGCGGUCAUGACAUGGAGAGGGGGUACUGCCCCUGCAUCCCCCACCCACUACUGAGUAUGGCAUGGGGGGUGGGGCCAGGGUGGCCUCCAGCCCCACCCAGGCCCUGCCCUGGCCCUGCCCCUCCACAUGCCCCUGGGGUCUCAGGUGUUUGAGGCCCUGGCCCCAGCCUCUCCCCAGGCAGUACAUGCUGGGAGGGAGGAUAUGUGUAUUUUGUAAAUAAAAUAUUUGCCCUUGGGAAAAAAAA